GACGAAACGCUGGCGGCGUGCCUAAGACAUGCAAGUCGAGCGAGGAGGCUUCGGCCUCCUAGCGGCGGACGGGUGAGUAACACGUGGGCAACCUGCCCUUCAGCCCGGGAUAACCGCCGGAAACGGCGGCUAAUACCGGAUGCGGUGCAAAGGUCGCAUGGCCUGGGCACGAAAGUUACGGCGCUGAAGGAUGGGCCCGCGUCCCAUUAGCUAGUUGGUGAGGUAAGGGCUCACCAAGGCGACGAUGGGUAGCCGGCCUGAGAGGGUGGUCGGCCACACUGGGACUGAGACACGGCCCAGACUCCUACGGGAGGCAGCAGUCGGGAAUCUUCCACAAUGGGCGAAAGCCUGAUGGAGCGACGCCGCGUGAGGGAAGAAGGUCUUCGGAUCGUAAACCUCUGUCCUCAGGGACGAUGAUGACGGUACCUGAGGAGGAAGCCACGGCUAACUACGUG
rnacentral:rRNA from 1 species